rnacentral:tRNA from 4 species
GACCUCGUAGCUCAGUUGGAUAGAGCGGCGGUUUCCUAAACCGCAGGCCACAGGUUCGAUUCCUGUCGGGGUCA